AGUUAAAAUUUUUUAUCUAUUGUUACUGUUAAAAAUUGACAUGAUUGAAGGAAUAACCAAGCAAUUACACUUGACACGCCACGUAUACCUCAUGUUAACAUAUAAGGACCCGUUUUUAACAGUGAAAAUGAAUAAAAUUUUUGACA
rfam:Gossypium arboreum cultivar AKA8401 contig_43363_1, whole genome shotgun sequence.